rnacentral:rRNA from 1 species
GACGAACGCUGGCGGCGUGCCUAAUACAUGCAAGUAGAACGCUGAAGAGAGGAGCUUGCUCUUCUUGGAUGAGUUGCGAACGGGUGAGUAACGCGUAGGUAACCUGCCUUGUAGCGGGGGAUAACUAUUGGAAACGAUAGCUAAUACCGCAUAACAAUGGAUGACACAUGUCAUUUAUUUGAAAGGGGCAAUUGCUCCACUACAAGAUGGACCUGCGUUGUAUUAGCUAGUAGGUGAGGUAAUGGCUCACCUAGGCGACGAUACAUAGCCGACCUGAGAGGAUGAGCGGCCACCCUGGGAGUGUGACCCGGCCCAGACUGCUACGGGAGGCAGCAGUAGGGAAUCUUCGGGAAUGGGGGGAAAACUGACCGAGCAAGGCCGCGUGAGUGAGGAAGGUUUUCGGAUCGUAAAGUUCUGUUGUAAGUCAAGAACGGGUGUGAGGGUGGAAAGUUCACACUGUGACGGUAGCUUACCAGAAAGGGACGGCUAACUACGUG